rnacentral:ribozyme from 1 species
GAGCUCUAGAGAGUGGGGCAGGUCAGGUGCAGGACAUGUCUUCUACUUUGUUCUCAGGAUAGUGAUAGAACUCUUUUUAUUCUCACAUUGUCUUGUCUAGGUUUGCUG